rnacentral:lncRNA from 1 species
UAGUCCCCGAUCUGGAAGUGUUGGAGGUUGGUUUCUUUAUUGUAAUAUUUCUCAAUCUUCUACUUCUAGGUGGCCAUUCGGAUUAGGGCCAACUCUCAGCGUCCCUCAAGUAAAUCCAAUUGUGCAAUCAGUGUUUCGUUAUUGCCUUCUUCCGUAGCGUGAGCAAGCCUUAGGCUAGGUUCCUCUAUUUCUGCCGAAAUGAGUGCUUUGACACCAUAUACCAAGGAAAAGAGGGGGUUUUCCGUGCUGGACUUCGUUGUUAUUCUGUAGGCCAAAGUACUACAGCCAACUCAUCUAUCUAGUUGCCCCUAGCUACUUUCAAUCUUUUAUUUAACGAAUUUAGCAAGGCCCUAUUCAAUAAUUUCGCAUGUUUGUUUGCUCCGGGAUGGUACGAUUUGGAGGUAACUCUCUUCAUCCUCCAAUCCUGGAAGAAUUCUACUAUUUUGCCUCCGCUAAACUGAGGUCCAUUAGCAGAGGUUAUUUCCUUUGGAAGUCUAAAUCUGUAAAUAAUGUUCCUUCAUAUGAAGCCUAUGACUUCCUUUUCUCUGAUCUGGCCGAAUGUGCCAGCUUCUAUACAUAUGGAGAAAUAGUCUAUAGUCUAUGAGUACUAGGAGAAAUAUUACUUUUCCCGGGGCUUGUGGUAAUGGUCUCACAAUAUCCAUCCCUCAUUUCAUGAAGGACCAUGGAUCUAGAAUUGAGUUAAAAAGCUCCACAGUUGGUGUAAUCGUCGAGCGAACCACUGUAUUUCCCACAUUCUUUUAUGAAAUCUGCAACAUAUCGUUUCAUCUAGGGUCAAAGGUAACCGGCCCUAUAGCUUUUGACAUCCCACAAAUGGUUUAUUUAGUUUUCUUUGUGAACUUCUUGUAUCACAUAAUCAACAUAUCUGGGCCCAAAUACUUGGCCAGUGGGCCGAUGUAGGUUUUUCGGUACAAAUUGUCUGAUACAAGGCAAUAUUUGGAUGUUUUGUUUUCGAGCUUCAGAAAUCUUUGAUUAUCUUUCGGCAAUGCUUCAUUCUCAAAAUAGUCGAUGAUUGCACCAUGCUAAUCCUGAACCAGGUGAACUAUAUUCACCUCAUCUUGUUGUUGAUUUAUGUUUGAGUAGAAUAGAUGAACCACCGAAUUUUCUCUUGAUCAAUGAUGCUUAAAGUUUCCCCUAGCGUGUCUAGGGCAUCAACUUUGACUUGUUCUUCCCAAGGUAUUUGAGUGGCCUUACAUUCACGAAAUUGACCAAAGAGGGAAAUGACUCUGUUCAAGAACUGCAUUAUUCGCAAGUCUCAUGCCUUGUAAGUCUCCUAUACUUGGUUGACUGCUAGUUGUGAGUCGAUUUUCAAUUCUAUAUAUUCUGCUCCUAGCUCUCUUGCUAGUUCGAGACCUGCGAUCACUGCCUCAUACUCUGUUGCAUUGUUAGUUAUAAAAUUGUAUUUAAUGGUUUAUCGUACUAUUUCAGUGGUCGGGGUAAUAACUACAUUUCCUAACCCGGAUCCUUUGGUACUCAAGGGUCGUCAUUGUAUAAGGUACAGAGCCUUGGCUUUGUUCUGAAAGUUAUCACUUCCUUCUCGGCCUCUGGGAGUAUGAUCGCACUAAAGUCAGCAACAAAGUUAAUUAGGACUUGUGACUUGAUGGCGGUGCGAGGUUGAUAUGUUAUAUCAAAUGCAAUUAAUUUGAUUGCCCAUUUGGCAAGCCUCUCGAAAAGAUCCAGCUUAUGAAGAAUAUUUUGUGGUGGAAAGGUGGUCACCAUGAAGACAGGGUAACAUUAGAAGUAAGGCCUUAGUUUCAGGGAGGCCAUUACAAGUGCUAAGACUAGUUUCUCUAGGAGAGGAUGCCUAGUUUCAGAAUCUUUACGUGCCUUAUUAACAUAGUAGAUAGAGGAUUGCAUACCUUUUUCUUCUCAUACCAACACGACACUUACAACAGUUUUAGACAUGACUGGAUACACCAAAAAUUGCUCUACUGGUUGUGGCUUGGAUAGGAACGAUGGAUUCGACAGGUACCUUUUUAGAUCCCGGGGUGCUUGUUGACAUUUGGGAGUGCGCUCAAAGUCUUUAUUCUUCUUUUAAUGAUGUGAAGAUUGUUAUAUCUUUGUGAGUAACAGGAUAUGAAUUGGCUAAGGGAUGUUAUCUAUCCGGUCAGCCUCAUCACCUCUUUCUAGUUUUUCAAUAUUAUUGAGAUCUUGUAAUGGGUUUUAUCUACAUGGGGUUAUCUUGUAUUCCUCUAUUUGAGACUAAGAAUCUUAUUUGAGACUACUCUGAAGGCGCAUUUCUCCG